GGUUGUAUAGUGUAGCGGUUAUCACAUCGGAUUCUGAUCUGUUCAUCUGGUCAUUCCGGUAACCCCGGUUCGAUUCCGGGUACGACCU